rnacentral:rRNA from 1 species
UACGUAGGUGACAAGCGUUGUCCGGAUUUACUGGGCGUAAAGAGCGCGCAGGCGGUCGUUCAAGUCGAGUGUGAAAGCCCCCGGCUCAACUGGGGAGGGUCAUUCGAUACUGAUCGACUCGAAGGCAGGAGAGGGAAGUGGAAUUCCCGGUGUAGUGGUGAAAUGCGUAGAUAUCGGGAGGAACACCAGUGGCGAAGGCGACUUUUCCUGGCCUGUUUCUUUGACGCUGAGGCGCGAAAGCUAGGGGAGCAAACGGGAUUAAGAAAACCCUGG